UUAAAAUAUAUUAUAUGAUUAAGUGUCUAUUUAAAAUUAAGCCUGUUAAAAAUAAAACUAUUGAUCUUUCCUAUCCUCUAAUCCCAAAUUUGCUCCUUCCAAAUUUAAACCCAGGUGAGUAAUUCCAACUCUGUUCCUCCCAUAGUUCAGGCCAAAACAUUGCCAAUAUCAUGGACUUUUGCCUCUAAUAUACAGGGUUCAAAUAUAUCUUGUUUGCAUAGAACAAUUUCAAUUUAUAAUUUACAUAGUUUAUAGUUUAGAACAGCUUCAGGAAUAGUUUACACGAUAGUUUCCUCACUAAUUUCCCUGUUUUCUCUUUUGCUAUGCUAUGGUCUAUUUUCACAGAUCAGUCAAACUGUUACUGCUAAUUCUUUAAAGAGGCGAUUGCUUUUCUGUUUAAAACCCUUCAUGGCUGCCAAUUAAAUAAACAAAAGUUCUUACCAUUUUCUAAGAAGCUUUAUGUGACCAUCUCCCCAUGGAGUGUGACCUCAUCUCCUCUGCUGUAUCACAUUGGCAUCCUUAGUGGAACCUCACGGGUGCGUUCAUACACCAAGGCCUCAUUUGCUAUUUCUGCUCCCUGAAAAUAUGUUCUCUCAAUUAUGCUCUUGGCUCAUUCUCUCAUAACUAUUCAUUGUAUUCAGAUGAUACCACCCAGUGAGGCUUUCAGCAACCAUCUUGUUCAGUAUCCAGCACCUCUUGUGCCCAGAACUCUCUAUUCCCCUUCUUUGCCACAUUUUUUAGAAUAGUACUUAAACCCUCUGGCAUACAACACAUGAUACUUUGUGGUAUUAAUUACUGUUUUUCUCCCAACACUGGAACAACAGCUCUGUGAAGCCAAGACAUUCUGAAUGUUAUUUUCACUAUUUUUUCCCCAGUCCCUACAAAUGGGCCUAGAAUAUACAUAGUAGAUGCUCAAUAAUUUGUUGGGGAACAAAUGAAAGUUGAUCCUCAAUAAUAUUUUAUAAUGAAUAGGCUUACAAUUUAUGAAAAAGCCAUAACUUAUUUAGCCAUCUCCCUAAAUUUGCAUUAUGCAGCAUAUAUGAUUUUAUAGCUAGUAUUCUGGAUGUCCA
rnacentral:lncRNA from 1 species